GAACAAAGUUAUUAGGUAUGUGAAGGUAAGCAAAAGCCCUCUUGUGGAUUAAAUUGAAAAUGCAGAUGUGAUCCAAUGAGAACAGAAAAAAAUUCAAGUACUAUCAGCCUGAGAACUAAAGUUGCAGUUAGAUUUCUAUGUGCGUUGAGGCAGAAUCAUUGCACAGAGUCGGCUCUGGAACUACUGGUCACACAUUGCAGCUUUACUUGAUAUUCACAGUCCUCAGUUCAUUAUGUUUUUAUGUGAUAAAACAAAGCUAAAAUUAGAGCUACACUACGGGGAGAUUUAUUAUUAUUAUUUAUUUAUAAAGCGCCAACACAAGUACCAAGUAAAACGACAC